GACGGAGGGUGCAAGCGUUGUUCGGAUUGACUGGGCGUAAAGGGCGUGUAGGCGGUUGGUCAAGUCUGAUGUGAAAGCCCGGGGCUCAGCCCCGGAAGGGCAUCGGAAACUAGCCAGCUGGAGCGCGAUAGAGGAGGGUGGAAUUCCAGGUGUAGCGGUGAAAUGCGUAGAUAUCUGGAGGAACACCGGUGGCGAAGGCGGCAUCCUGGACCGACACUGACGCUGAGGAGCGAAAGCCAGGGGAGCAAACGGG
rnacentral:rRNA from 1 species